AAACCAUAGGUGAACUAUGCCACCUUCAUCGAAGAAAUUCCUCGUGUAACAUUACACGUGGUGUAGACAUUACAGCACCCAAUAAAUGUUAUAAGUUAUUCUUCAUAUCUUUCUGACAAAAGAAGCUUUAAUAUGACCUUCCAUGUGGUGCAGACAAUACAGCACCCAAAAAACAUGCCCCACAUAUUACAUUGGAAGUUAGAGGGCGAUUAUACAAGGAUAUGGUUCGAC